UCCUGUUUGCAGAACUUAGGUGGUUGUGGAGAAUCACAUGACUGGUCUCUUCCAGACAUUGGUUGUGAGAUCUUUGGCAGUAAAUACAGACACCCUUCUAGUGAAAGGUCCUCACUUCAGCUGAAGAGAAAGAAGUUGGUUCAUGACUCCUAGGUACACAGGGUGCAUCACUUGGAAAUGGAUGCUGAAACUCCAAAUCCCAAUCCUGGUCACCUUUGGUGAAUGCAGACAUCAUGUGUGUUGCCUGUAACAGCCAUGCAAGGGGUUUGAGUUGUCUUGAAAGUUUCUGAUGAGUGGAGUUUUAACCCAAUUUCCAUCUGCUGCACCUGAACUGCAUGGAUUCUUGACCAUUUUUGCAUGGUAGUAUAAAAACUGCUACCCUCCUCGCUCCUGUAAUGCAGACCACAUUUACAGCUUCGUAAAGUGUUUAAUUACUUUGACUCUUGCUGAACUUUAAAUUUGUGCAUGUCGCAACACACAUGAAACACAUGAGCAAAGAAGAGUGUAACAUU